UUUUUCCCUUGUCUGUAUUGAUGACUCAGUUUUUGUCUUGUAGCUCGUCCACACACUGACAGAGGAGUUGAUGUGACAGACCUGCAGCUGUAUGACUGGCAGCCCAGACUGGAAGACAUUCAGAACACAGUAAAUGGACCAGUUGCUGCAACUUGUGAGCUGGGACUGCUCCAAGCUUCUACGGUGGACAAUAUCAAGUCAUCCAGGAAAUGGAAGCAUUCCUAAGAGUCAUAAGAUACAUUGCCACCAUUCAUUUGAAGGGGCCUUGAGCUUCUAAGUAGUCUUGAUUAUACAAAGCUUUUCUCCAGCGUUUAUAAUGGUUUGAAUGUACAGAUGUAAGGAAAUGUCAAAUAAAAUGGCUGACACAGA